rnacentral:rRNA from 1 species
GGGUGAGUAACACGUAUGGAACCCGCCCGUAGCAGGGGGAUAAGCGGAAGAAAUUCCGUCUAAUACCGCGUAAUAACUCCGAGAGGCAUCUCCUGGGGUUUAAAGGGUAACACCGGCUACGGAUGGCCAUGCGGCGCAUUAGCUAGUUGGCGGGGUAACGGCCCACCAAGGCGACGAUGCGUAGGGGUUCUGAGAGGAAGGUCCCCCACACUGGUACUGAGACACGGACCAGACUCCUACGGGAGGCAGCAGUGAGGAAUAUUGGUCAAUGGGCGCGAGCCUGAACCAGCCAAGUCGCGUGAGGGAAGACGGUCCUAUGGAUUGUAAACCUCUUUUGUCGGGGAGCAAAAGACGCCACGCGUGGCGUUCCGAGAGUACCCGAAGAAAAAGCAUCGGCUAACUCCGUGCCAGCAGCCGCGGUAAUACGGAGGAUGCGAGCGUUAUCCGGAUUUAUUGGGUUUAAAGGGUGCGCAGGCGGAAGAUCAAGUCAGCGGUAAAAUUGAGAGGCUCAACCUCUUCGAGCCGUUGAAACUGGUUUUCUUGAGUGAGCGAGAAGUAUGCGGAAUGCGUGGUGUAGCGGUGAAAUGCAUAGAUAUCACGCAGAACUCCGAUUGCGAAGGCAGCAUACCGGCGCUCAACUGACGCUCAUGCACGAAAGUGUGGGUAUCGAACAGGAUUAGAUACCCUGGUAGUCCACACAGUAAACGAUG